CCUACGGGAGGCAGCAGUGGGGAAUAUUGCACAAUGGGGGAAACCCUGAUGCAGCGACGCCGCGUGAGUGAAGAAGUAAUUCGUUAUGUAAAGCUCUAUCAGCAGGGAAGAAAAUGACGGUACCUGAGUAAGAAGCCCCGGCUAACUACGGGCCAGCAGCCGCGGUAAUACGUAGGGGGCAAGCGUUAUCCGGAUUUAAUGGGUGUAACGGGAGCGUAGACGGCAGUGCAAGUCUGGAGUGAAAGGCGGGGGCUCAACCCCCGGACUGCUCUGGAAACUGUACGGCUGGAGUGCAGGAGAGGUAAGUGGAAUUCCUAGUGGAGCGGUGAAAUGCGUAGAUAUUAGGAGGAACACCAGUGGCGAAGGCGGCUUACUGGACUGUAACUGACGUUGAGGCUCGAAAGCGUGGGGAGCAAACAGGAUUAGAUACCCGUGUAGUC
rnacentral:rRNA from 1 species